rnacentral:misc_RNA from 1 species
GAUGAAGAACGUAGCGAAAUGCGAUAAGUAAUGUGAAUUGCAGAAUUCAGUGAAUCAUCGAAUCUUUGAACGCACAUUGCGCCCCUUGGUAUUCCGAGGGGCAUGCCUGUUCGAGCGUCAUAUUAACCACUCCCGCUUGCGGGGUCUUGGGCUUCGCCUCCGGGCGGGCCUUAAAAUCAGUGGCGGUGCCGUCGGGCUCUACGCGUAGUAAAUUUUCUCGCGAUAGGGUCCCGGUGGAUGCUUGCCAACAACCCCCACCUUCUUAAGGUUGACCUCGGAUCAGGUAGGGAUACCCGCUGAACUUAAGCAUAUCAAUAAGCGGAGGA